rnacentral:rRNA from 1 species
AGGAUGAACGUUGGCGGCGUGCCUAACACAUGCAAGUCGAACGGGAAGCUCGAUUUCGAUUGAGCGGAGAGUGGCGCACGGGUGAGUACACGUAGCUGACCUGCCCCGAAGUGUGGGAUAACGCACCGAAAGGUGUGCUAAUACCGCAUAAGCUCACAAUGCUCAGAAAGUUGUGAGAAAAGCUGAGGCGCUUUGGGAUGGGGCUGCGGUCCAUCAGCUAGUUGGUGAGGUAACGGCUCACCAAGGCGACGACGGAUAGGGGACCUGAGAGGGUGACCCCCCACACUGGGACUGAGACACGGCCCAGACUCCUACGGGAGGCAGCAGUGAGGAAUAUUGCGCAAUGGGCGAAAGCCUGACGCAGCAACGCCGCGUGGGUGAUGAAGGUCUUCGGAUCGUAAAACCCUUUUCUCAGUGACGAGGAAGGACGGUAGCUGAGGAAUAAGUGUCGGCUAACUACGUGCCAGCAGCCGCGGUAAAACGUAGGACGCAAACGUUAUCCGGAAUUACUGGGCGUAAAGAGCGUGUAGGCGGAUGGUUAAGUCAAUCGUGAAAGCUCCCGGCUAAACUGGGAGAGGUCGGUCGAUACUGGCUAUCUAGAGGACGAGAGAGGGGUGCGGAAUUCCGGGUGUACUGGUGACAUGCGUAGAUAUCCGGAGGAACACCAGAGGCGAAGGCGGCGCCCUGGCUCGUACCUGACGCUGAGACGCGAAAGCAUGGGUAGCGAACGGGAUUAGAAACCCCGGUAGUCCAUGCCGUAAACGAUGCACACUAGAUGUUC